rnacentral:rRNA from 1 species
AACGAACGCUGGCGGCAGGCCUAACACAUGCAAGUCGAGCGAGGUAGCAAUACCUAGCGGCGGACGGGUGAGUAACGCGUGGGAACGUACCCCUUUCUACGGAAUAGCCUCGGGAAACUGGGAGUAAUACCGUAUAAGCCCUACGGGGGAAAGAUCUAUCGGGAAGGGAUCGGCCCGCGUUGGAUUAGGUAGUUGGUGGGGUAAUGGCCUACCAAGCCGACGAUCCAUAGCUGGUUUGAGAGGAUGAUCAGCCACACUGGGACUGAGACACGGCCCAGACUCCUACGGGAGGCAGCAGUGGGGAAUCUUAGACAAUGGGCGCAAGCCUGAUCUAGCCAUGCCGCGUGAUCGAUGAAGGCCUUAGGGUUGUAAAGAUCUUUCGUGGGGGAAGAUAAUGACUGUACCCCAAGAAGAAGCCCCGGCUAACUCCGUGCCAGCCGCCGCAGUAA